UACGAAGGGUGCUAGCGUUGUUCGGAUUUACUGGGCGUAAAGCGCACGUAGGCGGCUUUUUAAGUCAGGGGUGAAAUCCUGGAGCUCAACUCCAGAACUGCCUUUGAUACUGAGAGGCUUGAGUCCGGGAGAGGUGAGUGGAACUGCGAGUGUAGAGGUGAAAUUCGUAGAUAUUCGCAAGAACACCAGUGGCGAAGGCGGCUCACUGGCCCGGUACUGACGCUGAGGUGCGAAAGCGUGGGGAGCAAACAGG
rnacentral:rRNA from 1 species